UCAGAGUGAUAGUCUGUCACAGACAACUGCCUCUCCUGAAUCAAGUUGCCCAUGAAAAACAAUGGAGUUGUUUCUGGGUUUCUUGGGCCAGUCUCAGAAGCCUGCUUAUCUACCUCUGGUGUCUACCAGUCACCCAACUCCCACCUCUGGCUCCAAAAUCUGUGAAUUGGAUGAUCAUUGGAAUAAGGGUGCUAAUUACUGGCAGCUAACAGUGG
rnacentral:lncRNA from 1 species